rnacentral:lncRNA from 1 species
UGGGGCAUGCUUUAUGCAUGUUCUUAGUUAGAAUUAGCUAAGAUUCCAGGUUUAUUUGCAGAAAGUUCAUAUUUAACUUUCAAACAAAUGUUUUGGUUAAAGGAGAAAAGAAAGUUGGGGGUGAGUUGGGGUAGUAUCACAAAAGGUAGGAGGAGGAGGAGACCAAUGAAGGGAUGGAAUGCAUAUCUGUCAAGUCUGUCUUGCUCCAGGGACCAUUGGACCCAGAAGAAAACCUACAGUCCAAGGCUUCAUCUUCAUGAGAGACAUUAGGACGUGUACUUAAGCAGAGCUGCAUGGAAUUCAUCUGAGAAAUGGUGCCAAAGUAAGAGGCAGGCUUCUCUGGUGUCUCAGCCAUUAAGAAUCCUCCUGCAACAUAGGAGAUGCAGGUUCGAUCCCGCAGUCAGGCAGAUCCCUUGGAGGAGGGCACCGGCAACCCACUCCAGUAUUCUUGCCUGGAGAACCCCAUGGACAGAGGAGCCUGGUGGGCUAGAGUCCAUCGGGUCACAAAGAGCCAGACGCAACAGAAGGACUGAGCAGGCACACACAAGUAAGGGGCAGGGCCAUUUUUCUUGCCCCUCCUCCCUUUCUUAACCAUAUCAUCCAGUACAUAUUUGAUUCCCAAGGUCUCAAGCAGCAAGAGAAUGGAUGACAGUGAAAAGAAUACUGGGGCACAAGCAGGCAAGGAAGAGUCCAGAACAAAAUGGUGAGCAGAUUUCUUGUUUUAUUGUUUCAUUUGAGGCUGCAGAUGCAAGAUUAUCUGGGGAGUGAGUUAGAGUCUGUGGUUUGGGGAUUCCAGGGCAGACAUCCCAACUGGUGUCAGAGGUCAGCAGACAGAUUCUUGGGAGCAGACUCAGGUUUCUGAAUCCUGGGACAGAGAGUCACUCCAGCCCAGAGUUCAGAACCUCACCUGGGACCUCUCAGGCAAUCUCACGAGGAGGAGGAGGAAGUGUUUGUCCAUCUGUUGUCCCCAGGUCGGCUCUUCUCGGCACAGGGUCCACUUCAGCAGCAGUCGCCUCCAGAGGACUGACCGCUUCCCCCUCCGCAGCACCCGGAGCCCCCCGAGGGCUGGCUGCAGCAGUCAGACCUCUGGGGUCUGCUGUGGUGGGACCUGCGGCGCCUGUGGUGGCUCAGGCAGCAGCCCCCACACCCAGAGCCGCAGCAGCCCCCGGAGCUGGGGCCACAGCAGCCCCCAGAGCUGACACCACAGCAAGAGGAGACUGGGGGGCACUUCGGGGGGCAUUUAGAGGUGGGGCACUUGGGGGUGCACUUGGGAGGGGGCUGGCAUUGUUGCUGGUUCUGCUGGCAGGACAUCUUGGUGGGCAGGCUCAGGAUCUGAGGGAGAGACAGACAGCAGGUAAGAUCUAGCACACAGAGACCUCCCUUCCCCCUUUUGCCCUCUUAGCAUCACUUAUAAUCUUAAAAGCAUAAUAUCCAGUAGUUUUACUACUCUUAGUAGCUUUCCCAUACUCUUGAAUUUUGUAUUUGAAACUUCAGCACAGUUGUGUAAGUCAGACAAGACCUUUCAUCUACUUGUACAAAGUAGUAACCUAAGACCAAAC